CAUGGACUCCUCGGGGAAGAGUCUGCCGUAGAAAGAGCCAGGCAUUGCGGCUAUCAGGCACGAUCCUAUUUUGCGUCCGUUUUCUUUCUCAAGUUUGCGGUAGAAGCUUGGCAGCGACUUGAAAACCGAAUUGAAAUCAUUUUGGAAAAGAUCAUUCAGAAAAAUCUGAAUGGUGGGAGGUUCUAAUGCAUUCUUCUUUUCCUGGCCAACUUUGUCGACACUUUGUAUAAUGUUCCAAACUGUUAAAACUGUGUUUGGGCCAGAAGCGCAUCCCAAAUCCGCAACUUUAAGGCACUUGUUGAUGUUGGGUAAGUUGGGCCGCAACAAUUCUCGUAAGCAUUGUUCAAGGACAGGUUUCACCUUGGUGAGAACCGAAUUCUAGAAACACCACUCCAAAAAACAAAUGUUAAGGAGGAAAAAAAGAUAUACUAUUAUAGAGAUCAACGUGUCAUAGCAUGAGUUAGUACUACUGUGUGUGUGUGUGUGUGUUAAAGAGAUAGAGACAGACAGACAGACAGACAGACAGACAGACUUCGUAGGGUGAAUUCUUUGCGUAGCUUGUGUCGCCUUCGCCUCCAUUCAUAUGCAGCGCAAUGACGGAGCUAGGAUUUUUUAUUGGGGGGCCAAAAUUUUUUCGAAUAAAAUUAUUUUAUUAUGUUAUGUUCAAAAUAAUUUUCAUUUAUUUAAAUCUAUGACAUCUUAAAAUAUUAAAUAUUAACUUUAAUUAUAAAUGUAUGUCUAUUUCAUAAAUAUGUAACAUAGUCAUAACUAAAAUUAAGACAAGAAAUAACCUUUGAUUAAAUAUCUUAUAAUAUUACAAACCACCUAAGUUGCACAUUAUGAGAAGAUACUCCAAUAUGUCACUUGUGCAAAAAAAGAAAAUAUAACUAUGCAAUAUAAAUAUAACUAUUUUCAAUUAAAAAAAAAGAUAAAAUUUAUGUUAGCAUACCUUGAAAUUUCAUCCUCUUUUAUUAAAAGUAAAUUGAAAUUUACGUUCUUUUAUAGAACUAAAUUCAUGUAUAAUUGAAUCAAUGCAAAAUUUUCGAACAACUUCCUUUUUUAUGUACAUUAUUAGGCAAUCAUUCAAGAAAUUAUCUUUUAUCUUGUAUUGGAGCUUUGUUUUGAUUAUCUUCAUAAUUGAAAAUGUCCAUUCUAUAGACUAUAGAAUGGAGCCAGGAUUUUUUCCUUGGGAGGGGGGCCAAAAUUUUUCUAAACAAAAUUAUCUUAAUAUGUUAUAUUCAAAUAAUUUUCAGCUAUUUAAAUAUAUGACAUCUUAAAAUAUCAAAUAUUAAUUUUAAUUAUAAAGGUAUGUCUAUUUCAUAAAUAUGCAGCAUAGUCAUAACAAAAAUUAGAAUAAGAAAUAACAUUUGAUUAAAUAUCUUAUAACAUCACAAAUUACCCAAAUUGUACAUGAUGAGAAAAUGCUACAAUAUGUCACUUGUGCAAAAAUAAAAAUAUAACUAUGCAAUAUAAAUAUAACUAUUUUCAAUUAAUAAAAGAUAAAAGUUAUGUUAGCAUACCUUGAAUUUCAACCUCUUUUCUUAAAAGUAAACUGAGUUUUACGUUCUUUCAUAGAACUAAAUUCAUCUAUAAUUGAAUCAGUACUAAAUUUUUGAACAACUUCUUUUUUUUUAUGUACAUUGUUAGACAAUCAUUCAAGAAAUUAUCUUUUAUCUUGUUUUGGAUCUUUGUUUUGAUUAUAUUCAUAAUUGUCCGUUCUAUAGUUGCAGUUGACAUCGGAAGAGUGAGAAUAAAUAUAAUCAAUCUAUCAACAACAAGAUAGAUCACUCAAUUUCUUGUUUUCACCAAGCCUUCAAGUAAUUAUUUGUAUAUUUGUAUAUGGGUCAACAAGAGUAUAGAUCGCUAAUUUUAAUUUUUUUUAUCAAUUAGGUUAAGUUGUAUAUUUGUAUGUGGAUCAAUAAAGUAAUUAUUUUUGUUUUAACCCAUUGAUAAUUAUGAAUUGAGUCUUUUAUUAUAAUAUAUCAAAUUGGGUCAAUUUACUAUGGAUUACCAAAUUAUAUGUUUAAUUUUUUGAAUGUUAAAUAAUUAGCACAAUAAAAAAUAAAUAACUUUUUUUGAAGAAAAAAUUAAAUCAAAGGUGGCUAAUUCAUACGCACACACAGAUAUAUAUAUAUAUAUAUAUAUAUAUAUAUAUAUAUAUAUAUAUAUAUAUAUAUAUAUAUAUAUAUAUAAACUCUUAUAAUAUAAAUUAAAAUUAUAAAAAAUUAGAGGGGCCAACUUUCUCUUAUACAUAUAUUUACAUAUUAUGAAUUAAAAUUUUCAAAACUUAGGGGCCAUGGCAUCGCUCAGCCCCCUUGGCUCCCUCGUUGCCGAAUCGGCACGGCUGAAGAAAGUGUCGGUUAAUUAUUGAUGGUACAAAGAAGUUUCGGACUUAAAUAGCGGAAUUUUCUUAAAUCCGUGUACUAACUGGCUACAUACGUGUGUGAAGUGCAUUUGAAUUGACAGAAAAUCUGUCAACUGGUCAAAGAGAAAGCCACAGCCAAUGGGAACGAGACACAAAGGAAAUGAUAGGCAUAUUGCAGAAAAGUUAUAUUUAUUACUCACUCGUUCUAUUGAAAAUAUCAUUUUAAAAUAUUUUAAAAUAUUUGUCAUUUUACUAAAAUCAAAGUUACUUUUGAUCUCUUUUUAUUAAUGUUAACCUCACCUUUAUUUAUAUUUCAUACUAAAUUCAAAUUUGAAUCUUGAAUUUUCAAAGGUUUUUGAAAACAAAUCCUCUGACACUGCUAUUGACAGGGAUCGAACCUAUGUAAUAAUAAAUACCUACUUAAAAAAUAUAAAUUUUAUAUAUAAUGGUGAGUAGGGUCGAAUCCAUAGGAACUGGGGAUAAUUCGUUUCUUCUAGAGUACAGAGCAUGGGGGAUUUUUAUAAAAAUGAGAAUAAUUAAACAACUCAAACAAAAAGACCUAACUGAUAAUUUAUUAAAAUUGAAACAAUAAUAAAUAAACUCUAGCCAAGAAAUAACUUCGGAGAUAGUUCACUCAAUUGAUCAUGGAUGCAGCAAUAAUUUCAUUUAUUCACUGACAAACAAGUUAUAACUGUCAAAUAAGCGAUAACAGUCAACUUUUCCUUAUUGUAUUGGUGAUUAAAGUAUGACCGUUAACAACUGCCCUAAUAAAAAAAUAACUCUAGGUGCAACCUUAGAGUUCAAUUUCCCAAUUGCCUUAAGAAUUAAAAAAUCUCUAUUCUAAUCAAAUAACACGCUACAAUGGUUAUUUUAAGUUAACUCAUAUGUUCCCCUAACACAAAUCCAAUCAUGCCAGUUACCACUAGUUUAAAGUAAUUAAACAAUUACAGAUUUAAUUACUCUAAUUGAUAUUAGGUUAUUUGAUUAAUUUAAAUAUCGAGCACUUGAUAUUCAAAUAACAUAAUAACCAUAAGAAAUUAAAUCAGAGAGCAUACUAAUAUCAAUAAAUAAAAGAAACAAAUGAAAACAAUUAGACCUCAUAGUUAUAGAUGAACCAAAUCCUUCAUUAUCCCUUGACUAGCAAAAGAAAUUAGCCGCUCCUCAUUGGGAAAAAUCUCAAUGCAAACUUAUGGUGAAUCUCUAUGGACAUGCGGCCACCAAAAAAUAAGAACUAAAGUCUGUCGUUUCCCUCUCUUUUGAAGCAAAGAGUUAUGACCCCCCGGGGGUCCCCCAAAAUUUUUUUCUUUCGGAAGUACUAGUCAAGCGAGAAAACCAGCCGUCCUCAAUUCCUACUUUUUUCUCCUAGUUUGCAGCAUGCUAAAAUGAAAUAAACUCCCAAGCGGAAAAGGAAGCUUCAAUUUUCAUUUUUUUCUAACUAAAUCCUAAAACUAAUAAAGAUAUCUCGCAAAUUUUCAGUCAAAAUUUGCUCAGAGUUUGACACGAACUACAAAACAUUUACGCGCAUGAAAAAUCCCGAGCUUCUCGGACUUGACAACAGAUAUUGACCGCGUCCACGUCAAACUAGUUCAAAAUAUUCUGGAAGAUUGUCCAUUUAACCACUUUUUCUCCACUUCCAUAUAACUAGUACAAAAUAUCAAAUAUGAGUAGAAUAUAUCAAUUAAUGUAAUAUUUGACUAAAAUCAAGGAAAAAUAAUUAUAAAUUUAAUAAGAAAAAUGUAACCUAUCAACUAUCAAUCCAGUAUUUUUAAAAUGUUAGAAUUUCAAAAUGCGACAAACAUUUAACACCUUUUCAAUGACUAAAUAGAAAAAAAUAUGUUUUGUCCAUGCAAAGCAUGACACGUAACAUCCAAGCUAAAGUGAAAACGUGUUAGUAGCAGAUAGGUCAAGUGCAGGAGAAUGAGGAAUGGACCCGAGCUAAUAAAAUAAUUAAAACUAAAAAGGAAAGUGCAAAUGUCAAAGGAAGUGGGGGCAUGAUGAUAAAUGCAGCUUGGACAAAACAGGGUCUGGGGACGCAAAUGAAAGGACUGAAGUGCAAUUUUUUUGGGGCCAGUAUUUUUUUUUUGGUUGAAACGAUAGGAGAAUUUCAUUACUGUAAAUAAAGGUUACAUGUGUGAGCAACUGCUCGAGAGAACUAUACAAAAAGUGUUCAACAACACUGAGGAAAAUUCCUUUCCUCAUCCACAAUAAUGCUUAAGGCAUCAAUACUAAGCUUCUUGCUAUCUAUCAUAUUUCCUUCCCUACUCAAACAAAAAGAGCACAUGUAAAAUAGUCUCUGUAGGUUCGCAAUAUCCUCCAACAAUGUAGCCAUUCUGCUAUCCAAGGGUUGUGUAUGUGUUAGUUGCUUCAACAGCUCCUUGUUAGCAAGGUUGAGUCUGAUUCUGCUCCACUGUUGUUGCACAGCUUUGCUUAAUACUAGUUUUAAUGCUAGCGCAUCAUCUAGUACUUUGCUCCCUAGGCUUCUCUCUUUCAGCUUCCAUUCUGCUAUGUUCGUGCCUGAGGUUGUCCUAACUGUGACUCCAAUAACAAGUUUGUGCUGUUCAUUCAUUGUAGCUGUUGCCACGUCCAUGACCAUAGUUCCUUCAUCUUCACUGCCCUGGUUUUGUUGGUUCUGCAUAUGGACUGUUUCUUCUGUACUCUUCCUAUCCUUUGAUUUUUCCACCUCCUCUUGCUCUAACCAUUCUUUAUGUGCUCUUUCUACUGUUCUCAUUGGUGGGGAUGUAGUUAAACUCUCGAAUUCCUUCUUGUUUCUAUCUUUCCACACCUGUCACAAAAUGUUUGCAGUCAAGCCAAUGUGUUCCUUCCCUUCUAGUCUUGUUCUUCCUUCUGCGAUUCUGAGCCACCACCUUCUAAAAUCUCCUUGCUGAUCCUUAGCUCCCUCCCAUUGAAUAGGAGCUGCCUUCCAGAUUUCCAUCGUGUGUGGGCAUGUUAGCAAUAAAUGUUCAAUUGUUUCCUGUGCCUCUCCACAGGUUCUACAAAUAGGAUCUCCCAUUCUUGUUCUUCUAUUCACUGCUUCUCUAACUAGCAAGGCUCCUUGGGGCCAGUAUUUGAUCGGUAAUAUAUAGAGUGUGUUUGGAUAUCAAAAUUAUUUUAAAUAAUAUUUUAUUUGCAUCACAAAUAAUUUGAAAUUUAUUUUUUGACAAGAAUUCAAAGAGCUUGUAAUAGUGGAAGUAAUGCAACCAAAUUAUAACUCUAAUCAACCCACAAAUGGUAUAUAAGGUUUGGAUAUAUUGUUCACCAAGGAUUGAUUUGGUGUAUGACAAUAUAAAGAAAUAAAGCGUUCAUUAUACUUUGCCUUUUGUUAGGGCGGAGCUAAGACCCCACAGUAAGUGGGGUCAAAAUUUAGUACAGUAAAAUUUAUUUUUAAAAAAAUAAAAGUUACUAAUAUUAUAUACAGGUUAUAAUUGUACCCUACGAAUACUUUUUUUUUAAAAUGUUGCAAAAUCAAUGCAUUAUCAAUUUUGUUAAAUGCAUCUUUUUCAAGGUAAGUAAUCGAACCUCUUGAAUUUAUUAAAAUAAUCUGCAAAUCAUCAUCAAUUUGAUCUUCUACAGGUUUCUUUUAUAAAAUUUAUCUUUACCCUAUUAUAAAUAAAAAUCAUAAUAACUUAAUUUCGUAUUAUAAAUAAAAAGUUUACCAUCCACCUGAAUAAUUCUUAUUUUUGAAGACUUUGAAGUUUGAAAAAAAAUGAUUUGAAGAAUUGGUUUUCUCACUCCACUCAAAAAAGUUCACCCCUUGUAUUUAGAAAUUUUAGAUGAAUUUAUUUUUGAACUAACUUUCAUUGAUAAUUUGAAAUAAAUUCAAAAUUAUUGUGAUGGUAAGAGUUAUGAAUCUUCAAUUUUUUGGGAUCAACGUAUAUAGGAAAGAUAAUUUGAUAAAAUAUAGUGCGAUCAAAUAAGACGUAACUUUAAAAUUUUUUAAACUUCGUAAACCUAAGAACUAAUUUUUCAAAUUGUAUGCGGCUCCGCUACUGUCUUUUGUUGCUCCUAAAUAAUUCCAAAACUUAUAUUUUUGGAAUGACAAAUAUUUGUAGGUGCCCCAGAAGUGUUCAUCUGUAUGUAAAAACUUAGAGGCAAUGACCAAAAUAGUCAUUAAAUUAUUUAAAAUGGCAUGAUUUGAUCACCCAAUAUUUUUUAUGGCAAAAAAAGUCACUCAACUAAAAAAAAAAAACCGCUAUUCAGAUCAUUUUGUCAAUUUGUAUAGGUAAACCAUCCGGUUUCUCCCUCUCUUUAUCCUUGUAUCCAGAAAGACUACCAACACACACUGAAACUUCUCGUCCCACAUCACCAAAACGCCACCGUUUUCACCAUCUUCCUGGAUUUUGACACCCUCCUGUCUAGUGUAGUUCUUUUUAACAGUGCUCCUUGUGAAAGUGCUAAGGGCGGUCUUAACAGCUGCUUCUCAUGAAAGAAUCCAUAAAGCAUUUUAAGUGAAUGAAACAAAAGUGCAGAAAGCAGAAUUGGAAAGGAAUAAAAAAGAAUAACUGCAAAGAAAAAGAAAUCUUUUUUUGGAUUCAUUUUUCCUCUAUUUUCUUUAGGUAGAAAGAUAGAACUCUUUUCAUGAUUCAUUGGCCAUGGUCGCCACCUUAGCAUCUUGACCAGCAUUCUCAAAUUGUUUCCUUAUAUAAAAGAUAAGACCCAAAGCAAAUGUCGACUUUUUUUUUUUUUGUUUUAAGAAAUUUGCCUAAAGGGUAAUGAGAUCUGAGGAGAUUACAUAGGGAAAUGAAAAUGGAAGCCAUCCAAGAAAAAUAUCUUUACCGUGUGUUUGUCUGUCUAUGUUAAUACGGAGAGAGAGAGAGAGAAGAAUAUGCCAAUAGUACUAGUGUUUGUUUGCUGAUAAACACAGAAAAGAUAAGAUUGGGGGAGUUAAUGAAAAAGAGGGAGAGACUAGAGAUGAGGCGGCGACAAAAUAACCUGACCAAGGACGAGUGAGGACGGAGGAGACAUUUUUGCCCAUGGGAGAAUGUUGGUCCGACACAAGUAACCGUGUGUAACCGGAUGGUUUACCGGUAGAAAUUGACAAAAUUAUCUCAAUGUCACUUUUUUUUCAGUUGAAUGACUUUUUUGGCCAUAAAAAAUGUUAGAUGAUCAAAUCGUGCCAUUUUGAAUGACUAGUGACUCAAAAAUUUAUUAAUAUUAGUACAGCAAAUGGCAAAAAAUAUCACUAAACUUUUAAGUUUUACGGCUUUUGGUCAUUAAACUAUUUUUUAGCAGAAAAUGUCACUCAACUCUAAAAAGUGCAUUUUUUUUUUGUCAUUCCAUCUAAUUUUGGGGUUAAGAAAUGGAAAGCCAUGCAUGUGAUGUCCACAAGCGUUUUUGAAGAGUAAAAAUGUCUCACAAAUAUUUGAAGGACAAUUUGAGAAAGAAAAAAAAUGUUUUGGGAAUUAAUAUAGUUACAUCAGAUAAUUAGGGACUUUAACUAAAUUAUAUACAAGUCCCUAACCUAUAUUUAGUUUUCAAAACAAGAACAAAGGCACUCGGCCUCUGCUUCGUCCUUACCAGCAUCUACUUAUCAAUAAAGAGAUUCAAACCCACUAAAAUAGUACUAGUAUUUUUUUCUGCCCACAAGAGUCAAAUGGAAUUGGUAUUCAACUCAUCUCUCUUACAUAUUAUUCUCGAUAAAGAACUCUCAUAAAAUCAUCAAUUUCUUUUCUUUAGUCACUCAUAUUCUAGAUGAGAAGAAGAAGUAGAGAAAAGUUAGAGAAAAAAAAGAGGUAGAGACGAAAAUAAAAGGUUCACAAGAUGUAGCUUAACCACAACAAUUUUCAAAUUCGACAUAGUUUGGGAAAUACACAUUGACAUAAAAAAAUCAUCUUUAAAAAGCGGACGUGUUUUAAGAAACUGGACUCAAAAUCUUGUAACUCUCAUGACAAAUCAUUUUCCAAAUCACUCAAGCCGGAUUUGAAAGUCACUUGAGUGACCACAAAAUUUACAAGAGAGGUAAUAUAUCAAGUCUACUCAAGAUUUUUCCAUAUAGAUAUGUUCAUUAAUUUAUUAAGUGGCAAAAAAUGUGAUAAUUCUCAAAUCUUGCACUAUGCUACUUUGAAUUAAAUUAGCAAACAUUAGUCUAAUUUACGGUACAAUAAUUUGUGUGAUAUGUCCACCAUUUUGUUUUCUCUUAAAAAGAAUUAAUAGUGAUUUUUAAUUACUAGAACGCAUAAUCUCUAAACAGGUUAUAGAUAAAACAUCUUAUCAAUUAAACUGCGUUUCACUAUCAAUGUAAUGUGUUCACUUGAAAACAUUAAAUUUGUGAACUUUUGCUUUAAAAAAUUUUACGGGUACAAUAGUUAACGAGCAUUGAAUUUGUCCAUAGCUUUUGGGUGUAACGCAGUUAGAAAUGCAUUGAAAAAUGUACACGUCCAACGGCCACACUUGAAUGGAAGGAAAGCCAUCGUCCAUAUGUAAUCAAAUCCUCGGUCGCUUAUGCCAAAUAAAAGUCUUCCCAUACACAUGAUAUCAGCUUGGUACUACAUAUCUAAAAACAAACAUUUACAUGUCCGAUUUCUCUGGUUUUUUGGCAAGAGAAAUGAUAAGAUUAUUAAAGAAGCCUUUGCCCAUGCCGAGAAGCUUUGCUGCAUUCUUCGCAAACCUGUGGAAUAUGUCAGGUAUAAUAGCUUCUCCAAAAUGACUUGCGAGGAUGGGUUCGUAAACUGCUCUAAUGAAUGAUGCCACAUACGCUGCUCUAACAUGUUCAUCGCAGUAUACUUGGGAAUGGGAUCGUAACUGGUAAUCAUCAUCAAUGGAGAAGCCAGCAUCAUGACGGAGCUUAAAAGUCUCCAGGUACAAAAUUUCAAAAGAACCUUCCUCCUCAACUAUGUACCUUAUUUCUUCUACUGAAGGUGUAUAGUUUGGAAGAUUGAGACUAUCCAUUCUUUCUUCCUCCAGAUGUCCCUGCAGAUAUGCCAAUCAUCAAUUCAAUUCAAAUUAUUUGAAGCGCGAGACUUGGAAAUUAGCCAAUUUGUUAAAACGUCAGGUCUAGCAUAACAUGCACAGUUUUUUUCCCUUAAUUUCAAUAUGAAUAUAUUAUUACUUGUGUUUUUAGUUCAUACUUCAUAUAGAAAAGUUGCCAAAAAAUUAAAUAAUGAACGAUUUCUUCCUUUCCAAUACUUUUUUUUUUUAACCAAAAGGGAAAAAAAUACCUGACAAAUUAAAUCCCACUAUAUUUCUAACUUUCAACAAAUUAAUUUGGUGGAGGCUAGACGAAACUCAAGGAAAGAAUUAUCUUAAAUGUAUUGAAGUUGUGUGAUAACAAGCAUCUAGAGAUGGCAAUGAAAACAGAUGUAAUAGGGUGGGGAAGUGGCUAAUAGGGUGGGGCGAGGUGGAGGACAUUUUUCUCCUCCUGCUUUAAAUGAGGUAGGGGACGGGAAGGAUACCCCCUACCUAUCUGCCACCCCAUCCCCUACUACUAAAAUAAAGUUUAAAAAAUAAAUAUUAGUAUAUAGUUUCACACGUAAAUACAUACACACAUUAUAAUUACAUAUCAAUUAUUUAUAUAUGUGUGUGCGCGCGCAUGCGCAUGUGUUUUAUAAUUUAAGAACAAAAAAAUCAUAAUUUAUAUGAUAAAAUAAUGAUAUGGCUAUCUUCAAUUUACUUAAAUUUUUUACAUAUUGAUUUAUAUGUGUAAAUAGUGAUUUAUAAGGUUCUUAUUGAUAUUAUAUAUGUAGACAAAUAAUGUCAAAAUAAAAAAUAUAAUUAGCCAACUGGGAGGACAUCCAUGGGGAGGGGAUAUGGGACCGGGAGAGGAUUUGGGGCAGGGACGGUCAUCAGUAUGACCGUCCCUGCACGGUUCAUGGUCCAGAUUGGACCAUGAAAAAAUGUGCGGCUCAGAUAACAAGUGGUAACUCGAUUUCCGCGCUAAGUGUGGGGCCCACCACUAUCUGUUGUGAAAAUACAACCUGUGGAAAAAAAGUUACACGGUGAACAAAAGAAGUUACGCGCUGUUAAUGAAGAGAAAAUUUGUCAGGGACGGUUGCAGGUGCAACCGUCCCUGCCCCGAGUCCACCGGGAGAGGUGGGAGGAGAGAGCCCCCCCCCAACAAAAAUUCCACCCCUUAGUGAAGCAUCUCAUAAUCAUGAAAGAGAUAGAGAGAUUAAGACCUCGACGACCAAGUCCAUUAAUGCCAUGUCAAGUAAGUCAAAGAUAUUCGGGCCGUCGAAUUCAUCUCCUUCACACAUGAAAGAAAGGAGUAUUCGGCCAUGUGAAACCAACUCUUCCGAAUGCAUCCUUAGAAAUGUGGUAAAAUCUUUCAUAAAUUGAUCCAAAUAUGCUUUUUGGGCGGGCGGACAGCUUGCUUUGGAAGAGUAAAUGCUCCCUUUAUUCACACUGAUCCCCGAUUCAGUCACCAAACCACUGGGAACCUGCACGUCUAAAGCUGGUAACUUAUAUUGUUGGAGCAUUUUGUUAGCGUUGCAUGUGGGAAUAUAAAUCAUGAGCCGCGAAUUUUUUUUUUAUUUUUUUUAUAAAAAUGUUGUUGGUUUCUUAAGAAAUCUCUUUCUUGGAUUCUUGUGGAUACCUUGAGAUUGAAUGAAAAUCAUGAACGAUUUUUGCUACAAGAAAAAGGAAAAGGAUAAAAGGGAUUAAUUCAAAGACCUGAGAUAACCAGUGAAGACUGUAAGAAGAGUGUAAAAAAUGCAUGGACUCCUCGGGGAAGAGUCUGCCGUAGAAAGAGCCAGGCAUUGCGGCUAUCAGGCACGAUCCUAUUUUGCGUCCGUUUUCUUUCUCAAGUUUGCUGUAGAAGCUUGGCAGCGACUUGAAAACCGAAUUGAAAUCAUUUUGGAAAAGAUCAUUCAGAAAAAUCUGAAUGGUGGGAGGUUCUAAUUCAUUCUUCUUUUCCUG
rnacentral:lncRNA from 1 species